rnacentral:lncRNA from 1 species
CGUUGCAUGCACAUCUCCGGUGGCAGAUUGUAUGGUGUAAGAAAGACUGGCCACAAUGAAUAUUGUCUCCCUGACAUUCCAAACGGACUAAAUUCAUCUGUGCAUAGUCCGAGAUACACAUUGCGGCUAUUGCUAGCAAAAUCCGGAUAUACUUUGUUGAAAUGUUUCCAGGCUCUUGCAUCUGAUGGAUGAGUCAUCUCACCAUCCGUCUGAGUAUGCUCGGCAUGCCAUCUCAUCUUCUCAGCAGUCUGCUCUGAUUGAUAC